rnacentral:rRNA from 1 species
GACGAACGCUGGCGGCGUGCUUAACACAUGCAAGUCGAACGGGAAGGCCCUGCUUUUGUGGGGUGCUCGAGUGGCGAACGGGUGAGUAACACGUGAGUAACCUGCCCUUGACUUUGGGAUAACUUCAGGAAACUGGGGCUAAUACCGGAUAGGAGCUCCUGCUGCAUGGUGGGGGUUGGAAAGUUUCGGCGGUUGGGGAUGGACUCGCGGCUUAUCAGCUUGUUGGUGGGGUAGUGGCUUACCAAGGCUUUGACGGGUAGCCGGCCUGAGAGGGUGACCGGCCACAUUGGGACUGAGAUACGGCCCAGACUCCUACGGGAGGCAGCAGUGGGGAAUAUUGCACAAUGGGCGGAAGCCUGAUGCAGCAACGCCGCGUGCGGGAUGACGGCCUUCGGGUUGUAAACCGCUUUCGCCUGUGACGAAGCGUGAGUGACGGUAAUGGGUAAAGAAGCACCGGCUAACUACGCG